rnacentral:lncRNA from 1 species
UCUUCCUUUGUACCUUUUACCUUUUCCUUUGUCACCAGCGCCCCCACCUCCACCUCCACCUCCACUAUUUGCACCCCCACCCCCACCGCCGCCGCCACUUCCACCACCACCACCUCCUCCUUUACCACCAUGGUUCAUAUUACUAUUCGUUGCAACUUCCUUAGACGAAGUUGUAUUACUUCCUUGCCCAUCUCCAACAAAUUUGUGGUUUUGGUGCGAAAGGUUAGGAAUGGAAGUAGUGUUGAAGUGAGUGACGCCAUGUUCAUCACCUUUCAGUCCAUCAACCAAAGGUGAGCUGAACGCUAUUGCGAGAACCAGCACAAGCCCAAACCCUCUGGCAAUCUCCAUCUUCUGAUGCAAAUUGACAAUGCAAAAAACACACUCACCUCGCUCCCUUUAUACUCUUUCAUUUGAUUUGAAUGGCCAUUGACAGCUGGACCCAGUCCCCACUACAAGUCUAGAACAAAUUCAAAGUUUCCCAAAGGCUGCAAGACGGAGGCUGAAAGAUAGGAAAGU